rnacentral:rRNA from 1 species
CCUACGGGGGGCAGCAGUGAGGAAUAUUGGUCAAUGGGCGCGAGCCUGAACCAGCCAAGUAGCGUGAAGGAUGACUGCCCUACGGGUUGUAAACUUCUUUUAUAAAGGAAUAAAGUGAGGCACGUGUGCCUUUUUGUAUGUACUUUAUGAAUAAGGAUCGGCUAACUCCGUGCCAGCAGCCGCGGUAAUACGUAGGAUCCGAGCGUUAUCCGGAUUUAUUGGGUUUAAAGGGAGCGUAGAUGGGUUGUUAAGUCAGUUGUGAAAGUUUGCGGCUCAACCGUAAAAUUGCAGUGGAUACUGGCAGCCUUGAGUACAGUUGAGGUAGGCGGAAUUCGUGGUGUAGCGGUGAAAUGCUGAGAUAUCACGAAGAACUCCGAUUGCGAAGGCAGCUUACUAAACUGCCACUGACAUUGAUGCUCGAAAGUGUGGGUAUCAAACAGGAGUAGAUACCCGUGUAGUC